rnacentral:lncRNA from 1 species
GAAAAGAAAGAAAGAAAGAAAACCCCAGUCUAUGCAAGUCUGGAAAAUAUUGCUUUAGCCAUCUGUGAACAGUAGGAAAAUUCAAUAAUCAAACACAUUUCACAUCGAUCACAGCAAAGAAAGAGAACUUUUAGUUAUGCUUACCCAGCUAUUGAAGCAACCAGUAAUACAGAUUUGUAUCUGGUUUCUAUCAGUUUAUGGACUCCAAUCCUGUUACCAGAACAUUUUAAUUCCAAACCUGGCUCCUUGUGGGAGGGUUGGGGGGGAAGAAACAAAUCUGUCUUCCUAGUGGUUGCAAAGGUACUCCCAGUUCCUUUGUAAAAUAAUCCUUGUAGCUGGACUCCUAAGGCACCAGGAACUCUUCUCCCCAGCCCUCAGUUAAGCACCUAGGAGUGAAUGGAAAGUAGCCGCGCGAUGACGGUGAAGGCGUUGUGUGAUCCAGCCGAGGCAGCACAGAGUGCACGGCUGGAUCCCGUCACGGCAGGAGCGCCUCUCCCUCGUGAUGCUCUAGCAGCCAUUUUACCACAGCUGAGGCCUGCAAGCGUUUCAAAAUGCCAGAAGUACUGUUGUUUUCCUUCUGUGUCUCAGAUAAAGAGACAGAAAUCAGCUCUUGGGACUUCAUGCAGAGAUUGCACCUGGGGCAGUUGCAAAGGAGGAGGCCGCAUAACUGUUCAAAUGUCUCACAGAAGCCCGUCAUAUCCUAGCCGUUACUAACUGGGACGUUUCAUGCUUUCUUAUCCUCUUCAUAAAGGCACACCUGAGUACAGCCAGGCAUGAGGACUGCUGUAAAUAUUAGCUCCUUUGUUAGCUGAAUGCUUCCUCUCUCAUCGCUGAAACAAGACAGCUAAAUUCAACAAUGAAAGCACUACUAAACCGCAGCUCUGGUUAUUAUCCCAACUCCUUAGUACGUCACUAUUUUGAAUAAAG